UGAACGCUGGCGGCAGGCCUAACACAUGCAAGUCGAGCGGUAGAGAGAAGCUUGCUUCUCUUGAGAGCGGCGGACGGGUGAGUAAUGCCUAGGAAUCUGCCUGGUAGUGGGGGAUAACGUUCGGAAACGGACGCUAAUACCGCAUACGUCCUACGGGAGAAAGCAGGGGACCUUCGGGCCUUGCGCUAUCAGAUGAGCCUAGGUCGGAUUAGCUAGUUGGUGAGGUAAUGGCUCACCAAGGCGACGAUCCGUAACUGGUCUGAGAGGAUGAUCAGUCACACUGGAACUGACACACGGUCCACACUCCUACGGGAGGCAGCAGUGGGGAAUAUUGGACAAUGGGCGAAAGCCUGAUCCAGCCAUGCCGCGUGUGUGAAGAAGGUCUUCGGAUUGUAAAGCACUUUAAGUUGGGAGGAAGGGCAGUUACCUAAUACGUGAUUGUUUUGACGUUACCGACAGAAUAAGCACCGGCUAACUCUGUGCCAGCAGCCGCGGUAAUACAGAGGGUGCAAGCGUUAAUCGGAAUUACUGGGCGUAAAGCGCGCGUAGGUGGUUUGUUAAGUUGGAUGUGAAAUCCCCGGGCUCAACCUGGGAACUGCAUUCAAAACUGACUGACUAGAGUGUGGUAGAGGGUGGUGGAAUUUCCUGUGUAGCGGUGAAAUGCGUAGAUAUAGGAAGGAACACCAGUGGCGAAGGCGACCACCUGGACCAACACUGACACUGAGGUGCGAAAGCGUGGGGAGCAAA
rnacentral:rRNA from 1 species